rnacentral:tRNA from 1 species
GUCCCUUUCGUCCAGUGGUAAGGACAUCGUCUUUUCAUGUCGAAGACAGGGCUUCGAUUCCCUAAGGGAUA